UAUUAUUUUUUUCGAUUAAAAUAAUUUUUUUUAAGUAUAACAUAUAAAUUCUGUGAAUAAUUUUGUUUACAAUAAUGUAAUAAAUAUAUUGUUUACACGUACGAUGUAUGAUUACAGUAGCAAAAACAAUCGGCUCAACAAUAUUCGCCUCAACAGCCGUUGGCUCAUCAAUAAUCGACUCAACAGCCGUUGGCUCAACAAUAUUCUCGUCAACAGCCAUUGGCUCAACAAUAUUCGCCUCAACAGACGUUGGCUCAGCCGUGGCCAGUACAGCCGUGGCCGCAACCAGUUUGGCUUCAUCAGUGGCCUAUGCAGUACCAGACAGUAUCACAGCCACUGCUCCAGACAGUAUCACAGCCACUGCUCCAGACAGUGCGACUGUCGGUUCCACAGCAUCAGCCAGUACAGCUCCCAAACAACAAGAACAGGAGCAACUGCAACAACAUAAGCAACAGCAACAACAGGAGCUACAGGAUCAACUCCAACAACAGGACCUAAAGCAACAUCAGUAGCAAAAGCAGCAAAAAUUGGAGCCGACUUCUUAGCUACUGAAAUAUGAAAAAAACUUGUUGAAAGUUAUACAUUGUUGGAAAGCUAACUCAACCUCCACACCUGUCAUUUGGGGCGUAGACGCUUGUAAUGUCCAUGUAGCCUUUGAUGUUGAUGUCGAUAUCUUCUUUAUUAUUGGAAAGGUGCGUUGUGCUCCAAAAAGCUAUUGGGCAUACCUCGACUAGAAUUACAAGCUUCAGUCUUAGGAGUUAGAGUGUUGUUUUGAUUUGUGAUUCGAUUACACCUCGUCACAAAUGCCUUAAAGGUAUAGUUUUGAAAACCAACCCAAAACAGUAAAUGGAGUACUUCGACGUCCUGCAUCAAAGCAGGUGAAUCAUUGUGGUUGCAAAGUCAUAUGAGAAAACUUAAGUUUAUAAAAAAAAAUGUUUGUGUUAUUGUGGCAAUAGUCUUUAAAAAUCCUGUAAACAUUUUAUUUUAACUUAUUAUAGACAACCUCUGAAAAUUUCAUCAAAAAAUGUCAACAACUACACUGUAUAAAG